rnacentral:rRNA from 1 species
UACGAAGGGGGCUAGCGUUGCUCGGAAUCACUGGGCGUAAGGCGCACGUAGGCGGAUUUCUAAGUCAGGGGUGAAAUCCUGGAGCUCAACUCCAGAACUGCCUUUGAUACUGGGAAUCUCGAGUCCGGGAGAGGUGAGUGGAACUGCGAGUGUAGAGGUGAAAUUCGUAGAUAUUCGCAAGAACACCAGUGGCGAAGGCGGCUCACUGGCCCGGUACUGACGCUGAGGUGCGAAAGCGUGGGGAGCAAACAGG